CAUGGCCUUCUCUCCUCCGCAGAGGCUUCUGUUGGCUAUGACUACGAUUAGUAUUGAAUACAUUUCACUACACUUUACAUGGCGGAUCUUGGAACGAUAAAGCCUCUGCGGAGGAGAGAGGCCAU